AUUGCUUCUCGGCCUUUUGGCUAAGAUCAAGUGUAGUAUCUGUUCCUAUCAGUUUAAUAGCUGAUACAUCUCUAUCCGAGGACAAUACAUUAAAUGGAUUUUUGGGAGCAGGAGAUGGAAUAGGAGCUUGCUCCAUCUACUCCACGCAUCGGCCUGGUAUCGCAGUACCUCCAGGAUCGGUGCACAAAAA
rnacentral:snRNA from 1 species